rnacentral:rRNA from 1 species
GACGAACGCUGGCGGCGUGCUUAACACAUGCAAGUCGAGCGGUAAGGCCCUUUCGGGGGUACACGAGCGGCGAACGGGUGAGUAACACGUGGGUGACCUGCCCUCAGCUCUGGGAUAAGCCUGGGAAACCGGGUCUAAUACCGGAUAUGACUCCAUGACGCAUGUUGUGGGGUGGAAAGCCUUGUGCGGCUGAGGAUGGGCCCGCGGCCUAUCAGCUUGUUGGUGGGGUAAUUGCCACCAAGGCGACGACGGGUAGCCGGCCUGAGAGGGCGACCGGCCACACUGGGACUGAGACACGGCCCAGACUCCUACGGGAGGCAGCAGUGGGGAAUUUUGGACAAUGGGGGCAACCCUGAUCCAGCCAUUCCGCGUGAGUGAAGAAGGCC